rnacentral:rRNA from 1 species
UACGUAGGGGGCAAGCGUUGUCCGGAUUUAUUGGGCGUAAAGAGCGUGUAGGCGGCCAUACAGGUCCGUUGUGAAAACUGGAGGCUUAACCUCCAGACGUCGAUGGAAACCGUAUGGCUAGAGUCCGGAAGAGGAGAGUGGAAUUCCUGGUGUAGCGGUGAAAUGCGCAGAUAUCAGGAGGAACACCGGUGGCGAAGGCGGUUCUCUGGGCAGGUACUGACGCUGAGGAGCGAAAGUGUGGGGAGCGAACAGG